AAAAAGUCAGGAACUACAAAAAGCCGAAAGCAUACAAAAUCAACAUCUUCGGAUAAUCAAGAUGAUGUGAAACGAGACAACGAUUCAACAGAAGGACAAUUCGCGGUUUUUAAAAGUGAUACAAUUGAAUGCUUUGCUGAACAAUUUUUAUAUUCGGAUGAUCUGAAACUUUCUUCAGAAUUUUGUGCUAGACUUGCUGAUGAUGCCACUUAUAAAUUAUAUGAAUUAGUUCAUAAUAUAAAAACAUAUGCACACCCCACAGGUGGGGUUGUGACAACUGAUAUAGUUAAUGAUGCUAUAAGAUCUUCUGAUGUUCCAGCUGUGUUGGGAUCGUCCAAACCAUUUUAUGAAAAUAUAGGUUUUGAAAAGGAUACAGAACCCCAUUAUUUUGUGAAAGAUCAUAUAAUCGAUAUUUUGAAUGAGAUACAAAAGGAAAUCAUCUUUGAACAAACUAGUCA